rnacentral:rRNA from 1 species
GUCCCCGUCGCCCCCAUCGACCUACAAGGACACCCAUGCCCUGGUUGAACCCUAGCUGCCCUCCAGAUCCCCCUCUCUUUGCCCCUCUCCCACACGCCCGAGCUCGUCGGCGCUGCCGUCGCCAUACCGCCGCCGUAGGCGCGGCCACCGGCCUCCCGGCACCAUCGGAGAAUGCCCAGGAUCUCCACCAGCAUGCCCUGCUUCCCCUACGCGGAUCAACUCGAGCUCGGAGCAACCACCUCGACCGGAUCGACGCCUUCUUCUUCCUCGGUCGUCGCCGCUGCUCUUCAUCGAUCCGUCGCCUCUGCAGCUCCUAAGCCACCAACGGGCCUCCGUGUGACUCCGCG